CCUACGGGUGGCAGCAGUGGGGAAUAUUGGACAAUGGGCGAAAGCCUGAUCCAGCCAUGCCGCGUGUGUGAAGAAGGCCUUCGGGUUGUAAAGCACUUUCAGUUGGGAAGAAAGCCUUGGGGCUAAUACCCUCGAGGAAGGACAUCACCCACAGAAGAAGCACCGGCUACCUCCGUGCCAGCAGCCGCGGUAAUACGGAGGGUGCGAGCGUUAAUCGGAAUUACUGGGCGUAAAGCGCGCGUAGGCGGUCUGAUAAGCCGGUUGUGAAAGCCCCGGGCUCAACCUGGGAACGGCAUCCGGAACUGUCAGGCUAGAGUGCAGGAGAGGAAGGUAGAAUUCCCGGUGUAGCGGUGAAAUGCGUAGAGAUCGGGAGGAAUACCAGUGGCGAAGGCGGCCUUCUGGACUGACACUGACGCUGAGGUGCGAAAGCGUGGGUAGCAAACAGGAUUAGAUACCCUAGUAGUC
rnacentral:rRNA from 1 species